UGUUGAUACGUUUUUAUUUUGUUUCCGGAUGUUAAGUUAAAGGAGUUUUAUUCGUGACGUAUAACCAAUCAAAUCACUCCAGAAGACAGAGCGACCACAGGCCUCCGUUGACUCGUCCUGCCUGCCGUCUCUGGAGCUGAAGCUGGAUUGGAACAGACCAAAGUACAGUCCAAUCACGAUGCCAGCUGCCUCUCAAAAGGCUCCUUCAUCUGGCAGGUGGCAGCACUUCUUCUGAGGGGAAGCUGAGCUGGUCCAGCAGAACUUUGGAGAUGUGUUCCAGUGGUUGGUGGAUGUGUGGGGAGACAGAGAGGGACCUUUGAAUUGUUCAGAAAGGAAAACAGGGAACCUGUUGGUAGUUUUAGUUUAGGGUGCUAAUGUGGUGUGUUUUUGGGUUUUAAGAAGUGAACAGGAAGAGUUUUUUUUCGUAUUGAUUAUCUUUUACUUUGUUCCUGGUUGGAAUGCCCAUCAAUGUCAACAUGAAGUUCACUUUUAGUUCUGCUGAUUUAUUUUUAUUUUACUAACACCCAUUUGUUUUUAACCCCCUCACAUGUUGUUGUUGUAAACUUACUCUUUCAAAUAAAUUCUCGUCUAACCCUCUGGAAACCAGCGUUUGGACUGUUUUUGUGUUGCUCCUCACCUACUGACAGCUGUGGACUAAAGGCCAUACUGUGACGUUUUUAGAGCGACAUGCUAUACUAUGAUGUUUGUUGGGCGACACACUAUACUAUAGGCUUUUUUAAUCGACAUAUUACUGUGACGUUUUUUUUGUUUUAGUUUUUUUUGUUUUUUUAGCAACAUAUAAGAAUUCAAACAGUUUUAAAAGUUACUAUACUUUUACUUGUGCAAUGAAAUUAUUAUUCUAUGGCAUUUUUUAGAUGACAUAUACUCUGUUUUCUUGAUUACAUACUAUUUUGACAAUAUAUUGCACUAUGACAUUUUUUGAACCACAUAUCAUACAUGACAAUUUCAGGCAACAUCCUAUCAUUUUGCGCUUUUUGAACCACAUAAUAAUCUAUGUUUUUUUUUUUCUUGCCAACAUGCUGUACUAUGAACUACAGGCCAUACUAUGUUAUUCUUGAGUAAAGCUUACUAUACUUUGACAUUUUCUGAACUACAUCCUAUACUAUGGCGUUAUACACAGAGUGCUUUGGUUACAUGUUGAUGUAUAAUCUAGAUUUUUUUCUGUUUUGUUUUUUGACGGGAUUACCACAGACCUGACUGUGAACACCGUCAACACUCACCUCAGGGAGACGCUGCCUAAGAUCUCAAGGCUGCUUGGUCGUGGCCUUUCUGGCACGUACUCUUCCAAGAUGAGCCGGGAAGUUUAACACUGAUGGAAUGACACCAGGUCUAAGCCGACAAACUUCCAAUUCCUCCUCAACCCAUAGUCUCUGGGAAACCUACAUGGAGUAAGAAAAGUAGACAGAGAAGUAAUUAAGUCUGUACACAACAUAUUAAAAAGAAAUCAUGCUAAUAAAUUAAGUACAAAGAACCGAAUUCGCCAAUAUACUGGAGACCAGAGCUAUUUAAUUUGAUUAGUAUAACCUUGUUUAGUAACAUUUCAAUUAUUUGAGAACAGUCCUAAAGAACUGCCUGUAAUCCCAAUCAUAAAAUGGGUUUGGAGGAAGAACUACUACAACUUGUAAUACUAUUACAAAUGCUGAUACUACUUCUACGACUCUAACAGCUAUUUUAUACUACUACUGCUGCUUGUACUUUUAGUAUUACUACUACUGCUUGUACAACUAUACUACAGCUACUAUUAAUCGUCUGGUAUUUGGUUGUCAAGCUGCUAGCUCGCCUUAGUGUUUUGCUAGUGGCUAACUAGUUAGUUCUCAUAGACUGGAAGCUCUCAACAAUAUUUAAUAAUGAAAAAAGAGCCAAAAACUAUUCUUACCUAUGAAAAGUCAUUCCAAGUUUCCUUGUCUCAAUCGUACGACGUAGUGUGUAAUUGUAUGCAGCACAGUGAGACGGCAUACUCGUUGUUUCCGUUUUCACGCUGUCUACUUCAACGGAAUGCACUGAAACUUUCUCCCCACUAGCUUAGCCUCGCAGUAGCACGCAGCUCAAAGGGGCGUGUCCUAUCUACUCAUUCAUAUCUAUGAGAACAAGGAGGCUGCACAUAAGGACGCCUGACGUUGAUUAGCUGCGUAAAUACCAUUAUAUACAGUCUAUGGUAAAUACGUAUGUGAAUCGCAUCAUUGGCUGCAGCAGCCAGUCACCGGUCAGUCACUGACUCACAUUGAAAAAUAGCACAGAAUGAAUUGUUACGUGUUUGUUUUAUUUACAAUUUAGGUUGGAUUUUUUUAUUUUUUUUGUGCACAGCGCAGAUUUUCUGUGCGCGGAGACCGUGUCAGCAGUGCGCAAUUGCGCACGGGCGCAGCUUAGAGGGAACAGUGACGUUGAUAUUUUCAGACUUUGUUCAAUUCAUCUGUGUACAUCUGGAAAUUACCCAUACUAUAUUUGAGACUGACAAAAAAAACUUACUUCUUGGCACAUAUUUGUUAUUGUCAUAUUUGAUUGAAGACAUUCGAAACCACUGCUGCUACUUCUACGUUUUUUCAAACCUUGUUUUCUGUCUCAAACUAGCUGUUGUCAUAGUUUCAAGACAACAGGAUAUGAUUAGUUGGCACUUUUAUAAGUGAAAUGAUUUACAGCUGUGGGAAAUUGUGUGUGUGUGGGGGGCAGAAUAGGAGCUUCAGUGGUUUAUGCUUUUUUCCUGUCAGUUUUUUUUUUUAUCACUUGCCCAAGUGAGAUAACAGCUUUUCAGAUCUGCAGUCUUGACAUGGUUGUGUGGAAGCCCAUGAGACUUGAGAAACCCUUCGAGAUGUCCACAACACGCUGUAUGGGCUAAAACACAGCGUCGGCUGGAGCCUGUUUUUGCAAAAGGUUACUCAUGAUACAGCCAACUUAAGACUGACGAGUUAGAUCUUAGUUUUACACCUGAGAGCGGCGUGGUGUGAUUUCACUAAGCUUAGGACUCUUGGCACUGUAGGGUGUCAGCUGAUGCUAAAUCACUGAUCAAAGUUGGUGGUUUCUGCUUGGAGCUGAGUAAAUAUUUCUCUACUGCGAGUAUGUACAUGGAAUCAAAGGAACAGUGUGGGUCAGUUUCUUCUAUAGCAGCGAUUUAGGUCAAGCCACUUGCUUUAGCACUUUCAGGUUAGAUAAACACGGAUGUAAAAAGAGCUGCUGACUUUCACUAACCUUGAUGAAUGAACGAUGCAGAUAAAAUGUUGGUUUUUGUUGGUUUUAAGAUGCAAAUUGAUUUAAGUCAAGUGUGAGACAAGCUCCUUUGUGUAUAAAACCAUGCAGUGAAAUGAGUUCAGGUCAGCCGAGGACAACGUGGACGUCCAUUAGGGACUAGCUAAUGCUUAUAUGUGGAUCUCUGCUGACGUCGACUCCAUCAAAAGUGGUCCUGAGCUGGCAGAGAGGCAAUGUUUGCGCAUCGUAAUUCCUGCUUCAUGCAACUGUCAAGACAAAGGAAUAAAGAUAUAAAUUACCCGCAGAACAAAUUGAUUAAUUCCUUUUUAAUCGCUUGUCAUGUGAAGACAAUCUAGCUGCUGAAUGCAUGAGUAUUUUAACUGUUUUUGUUGCUCUGAAAGGCAGAACACAGAGAUGGUGUUGGUCUCCUCGGGUUAUGAUGGCUGCCUGGAUCGCAGCCUAAUGCAGUGAAAUGUGGAAAUUUUUGUGGCAUGAUGGGUAAUGUGGGAGAGAGUGUCCAGAGUAGAGAUUACACUCUGCUGGUUUCAUGAUGUAAGUUCUGCAGGGAUAAGCCUCUUACACUUGCAUGCAAACAUAGGCAGGAAUCGGUGUGGACCACAUGCAGAUGCAGCUAAACUCAAACACAUGCAAACAUCAUAAACUGAUCAGAGGUAUUACAGUUGUGCCGCACAGCUUGACAGCAGCUGUAGAAUUUGUAAAUGUUAGUGCUUUGACUGGUUCAUGACAGAAUGCUCACUGGUUAUUUACUAGAUUAUAGCAAAGAAGUGAAUUGUAGUAUUACAGUUGUGACAUGGCAAAAAUAAUAGUUAUAUAGGGCUCAUUCCAUCUCAAAUCAUCAGAUUUUUAGAGCAGUUUCUUCUUGAACAUCACUGAUUUGCCUGCAGUUGUUAAAGAUAUUUGUGAAUUUUUAGCUUAAUAUAUUACUUGAUAUAAAGCGUUCCCAGAUAAACUUGUCAGCCCACUUUUAGCAAGCACUUUUUUUUUUUGCACAAAGUUAUUCCUGAACAACAGUAUCUCAGGAACUAUUAAAGAUAAAAGCUUGAAAUCUUCACUGUUAUUUCUCAUCAUGCCAUUGAUUCAGAAUAGAAGAUAUUGGAUAAGUAGAUUAAAUAAUCUCUGAUUAUGGGGGAGUUCAAAUAUGAAAAAAAAUUAUGCACAAUAUGAUCCAAAAAUGAAAAAUAUGCCUAUAUAAAAAUAAAUAUUUUUCAGUUAUACUUUAAGAAUCAUCCAUGAAACUCCUAAACUCUGUUCUACUUGGUUGAUGCUAUCUACUAAUACUUUUGUUUUUAUGGUAUACAACUUUUACCUCAAAAGUCGUACCUGCUCAAACAGUUAUGAAAGUUAAAUUAAAAUUACUUUCUUUUAUUUUUUGUGAUCAAAUAUUUCAUAAUUAGAAAGUUCUCUAGGUUUUUUGUGUAUUGUUGUCACAUUCAGCUACAUUGGUUCAGAAAAUAUCACUAAUUGACUUCUGCUUGAUCAGUUAUUUUGCAUGAGCUCGAACAUGGGACUUUACUCUAUUGGUCCAAUAUUGCAUAUUUUGAAAUAAUUACAUAAUGAGAAAUAAAAGUGAAAAUUUCAGACUUUUAUCUUUAAUUGCAACAAAAGCAGCAAAGCCUCAAAUUUAAAUGCAUGUAAUAAAGAAAAGUAUUUGAUAUAUUGAGUUCAAAUUUCAGAGAUGCCAUUUUAAAUAUCUAGUUUAUGAUACAAAAGGUUUCAAACAAAUCAGAAAUCGGUCAGGCAGAAGGCCCCUGAUGGUUUGAGAUGGAACAACCCAUAGAUGAACUAAAUUAAAACAACUUAAUAGUAGUUUCUAAACAGGUGGAUGUCUCAGAAAGGUGUUAAAAUGCUCUAAAAGGCAUGAAGCUAUGCAUUAUUUUACCUUUUUUUCCACUGAAGCAGCUCUCACUGCAGCGUUUUCCUGGGUUUCUGGUCUGGAGCCAUCUCAGGACGAGUCUGAACAAACAGCCGAAGCUCUGUUCUGCUUCGGGGGAUUCCCUUACAGUCAGGAGGAAUAGAUCAUAAGAUCAGGUGGCCGUGUUUGACAUGUCUCUCUGAGAGGCAUUAGAAAGGAGACGACAGGAGAGCUCGGAAAAGUGAGAGGGACUAAUUGUUUGCAGCGCUUUAAAGAUUUAAUGACGGUAGUAAGUAGCAUCGGAUUACUAGUGUGUCCCGUGGUACAAGGUUGUGACCUCUGGGGUUUGUUGAAGAACUCGAGUCUGGAUGAUACUAGAUUAUUGGGGCUGAUGCCAAUUUUUAGGGAUGUUUUAAGCCGCGAUUCCACAAGCAUCUACUCGGCGCGGUACGGUUCGCCACUAUUGUAUCUGACUCGGCUCGUCUCGGUUUAGUUGUUUUUCCAUAUAGCCUCAUCGUGGGUGGAGUCGUCAUAGCGCAGCCAGCCGGAAGUCCCUCAACGUCAUUUGCGUGCGACACAAACGCAACAUAACGGAGACGAUGGUUCACCUGCUGCUCGGUCUGUGGCUUUCUGUCGGAUUCAAAGUAAUAGAAGAGUCAGAGAAAGCUGAGAGCAGCGAGUCGGAACACUCAGGAGACACACAGGAGAGUUUGGGAGGCGAUGCAGCAGUAUCAAGCUGAAGACAAGAGGAUAUGAACGAGACGACAUAUGAGGAUGCUCUCUUGUGAGACUUCAUGGGAUUUACCUGAAGCAGCAGCACAUGAGCCUGCAGUGGCACAAGGUGUAGAGGAGGAGGACAGAGAUGUACAGGAUGCACUGAUGCACUACGUGUCAUGCAAAAGUUAGAAGUUAUUCUUCUCGCUAUACUUCUGUUUUUCUGUCCCCGGACCGCUAUUGUUUUCUUGAAUGCAAUUCUGACAAUAAACUUUUGUACCUUUUGCA